rnacentral:rRNA from 1 species
GACGUAGGGCGCGAGCGUUGUCCGGAUUUAUUGGGCGUAAAGAGCUCGUAGGCGGCUUGUCGCGUCGACCGUGAAAACUCACAGCUCAACUGUGAGCUUGCGGUCGAUACGGGCAGGCUCGAGUUCGGUAGGGGAGACUGGAAUUCCUGGUGUAGCGGUGAAAUGCGCAGAUAUCAGGAGGAACACCGAUGGCGAAGGCAGGUCUCUGGGCCACUACUGACGCUGAGAAGCGAAAGCAUGGGGAGCGAACAGG